AAAGAUUAAGCCAUGCAUGUCUAAGUAUAAACGAUCUAAUCGUGAAACCGCGAAUGGCUCAUUAUAACAGCUAUAAUUUACUUGAUCUUGACACUAUCCUACUUGGAUAACUGUGGUAAUUCUAGAGCUAAUACAUGCAUUAAAGCUCUGACCUCACGGGAAGAGUGCACUUAUUAGAACAAAACCAAGCGGCUUCGGCUGUUUUCGGUUGACUCAUAGUAACUGAGCUGAUCGCACGGUCUUGCACCGGCGACGUGUCUUUCAAGUAUCUGCCGUAUCAACUUUCGAUGGUAGUGUAUCUGACUACCAUGGUGAUCACGCGUAACGGAGAAUAAGGGUUCGGCUCCGGAGAGUUCGCCUGAGAAAUCGCGAACACAUCUAAGGAAGGCAGCAGGCGCGAAAAUUACCCACUCUCAGCACGAGGAGGUAGUGACGAAAAAUAACGAGACCGUUCUCUUAUGAGGCCGGUCAUCGGAAUGGGUACAAUUUAAACCCUUUAACGAGUAUCUAUGAGAGGGCAAGUCUGGUGCCAGCAGCCGCGGUAAUUCCAGCUCUCAAAGUGCAUAGAAUUAUUGCUGCGGUUAAAAAGCUCGUAGUUGGAUCUGUGCCAUAGGACGUGGUCCACCUUCUGGGUGCGUACUAUGUUCCUAGGCUUUUUGCUGGUUUUCCCGUCGUAGCCUUCAUUGGUUGCGGCGGGUGGCUGGCGAGUUUACUUUGAGAAAAUCAGAGUGCUCAACACAGGCGUAUCGCUUGAAUGAUUGUGCAUGGAAUAAUAGAAAAGGAUUUCGGUCCUCUUUUAUUGGUUUUGUGGACUGAGAUAAUGGUUAACAGGGACCAACGGGGGCAUUCGUAUCGCUGCGUGAGAGGUGAAAUUCUUGGACCGUAGCGAGACGCCCUACUGCGAAAGCAUUUGCCAAGAAUG
rnacentral:rRNA from 1 species